CAAUAGCGUAUACUAAAGUUGUUGCAGUUAAAAAGCUCGUAGUUGGAUUUCUGGUUGAAGCGACCGGUCGGGCGUUGAUUCGUCUGCACUGGAGUCGGUUUUGGCCAUCCUCUAGGAAAGUGCGUCUGGUAUUAAGUUAUCGGGCGUAUGAUCCUGGUCUUUUACUGUGAAAAAAUUAGAGUGUUUAAAGCAGGCCUUCGCCUUGAAUACAUUAGCAUGGAAUAAUAAGAUAGGACUUUGGUCUAUUUUGUUGGUUUGCAGACCGAAGUAAUGAUUAAUAGGGAUAGUUGGGGGUAUUUAUAUUCCGAUGUCAGAGGUGAAAUUCUUAGAUUUUCGGAAGAUAAACUUAUGCGAAAGCAUUUACCAAGGAUGUUUUCAUUAA
rnacentral:rRNA from 1 species